UGCUGGUGAGGAUGUUUACAAAGGAGUUCUUAAGGUAGAUGUUUUUCGUCAUCGUUUAGUAUAUAUCUAAACUAUAUUCCUGUCUCAUGUGCUAUCUCUUGAGGCAGGAUUACACUAGAGAUGAUGUUAACGUGGACAACUUUGUAGCUAUCUCCUUGGUAAAAAUUGCUCUUACUAGGUACCGGAAAAAUGGGAAUAGUGGUCCAAAUGAUCAUAUUUACAUAUUCUAUAGUGAUCAUGGUGGCUCUGGAGUGCUUGGCAUUACAGUGUAGCGACAAUAAGAAAGUGUUAGCUUUUCUAUGAUACCUACAAUUAGAAGAAAGAAGAUGAAUGAGGCUUCGAGGAUAAUAACUAUUGAUAUGAGAAGGCUUAAGGUAAAGAAAUAUCUUGCAGUACAUUAAUACAAAUUCAUAGCUCUGACUAUAAGCCAGAGAGAAUAAUUGGAAGAAAGAGCUGGAAAAGCU